AGGUGCAGGCAACCCACCCGGAGUGCUCCAUCGUUCUGCAUUUACAGGAACGAGAAGCUGAGUGUCUGGAAACAAUCAGGAGUGAAAACCAAAGCAACGAGUCUCCAGAGUCUUCCAGCUGGAAAGGCUGUUCGAGGGAGUGGGAUGGCGUCAGCUGCUGGCCGGCGGUGUCAGUUGGCCAGUCCCAAGCAGUGACCUGUCAAGAGAUCCUUCAAGUAUUCAAGAAAUCUCAAGUGUUGAUACGCAGGAACUGCACAGAGUCCGGCUGGAGCAGCCCCAGCCCC